GUACUUGUUUCAGCAGCAUAUAUACUCAAAUUGGAACAAUAUAGAGAAGAUUAGCAUGGCCCCUGAGCAAGUAUGACAUGAAAAUUUGUGAAGAGUUCCACAUUUUU
ensembl:snRNA U6 U6 spliceosomal RNA